GAUGAACGCUGGCGGCGUGCCUAAUACAUGCAAGUCGAGCGAACAGACGAGGAGCUUGCUCCUUUGACGUUAGCGGCGGACGGGUGAGUAACACGUGGGUAACCUACCUAUAAGACUGGGAUAACUUCGGGAAACCGGAGCUAAUACCGGAUAAUAUUUCGAACCGCAUGGUUCUAUAGUGAAAGAUGGCUUUGCUAUCACUUAUAGAUGGACCUGCGCCGUAUUAGCUAGUUGGUAAGGUAACGGCUUACCAAGGCAACGAUACGUAGCCGACCUGAGAGGGUGAUCGGCCACACUGGAACUGAGACACGGUCCAGACUCCUACGGGAGGCAGCAGUAGGGAAUCUUCCGCAAUGGGCGAAAGCCUGACGGAGCAACGCCGCGUGAGUGAUGAAGGUCUUCGGAUCGUAAAACUCUGUUAUUAGGGAAGAACAAACGUGUAAGUAACUGUGCACGUCUUGACGGUACCUAAUCAGAAAGCCACGGCUAACUACGUG
rnacentral:rRNA from 1 species